rnacentral:rRNA from 1 species
CUUGGUUCAGUAAAAGUAAGCAGCUUGCUGCUUUGCUGACGAGUGGCGGACGGGUGAGUAAUGUCUGGGAAACUGCCUGAUGGAGGGGGAUAACUACUGGAAACGGUGGCUAAUACCGCAUAACGUCGCAAGACCAAAGAGGGGGACCUUCGGGCCUCUUGCCAUCAGAUGUGCCCAGAUGGGAUUAGCUAGUUGGUGAGGUAACGGCUCACCAAGGCGACGAUCCCUAGCUGGUCUGAGAGGAUGACCAGCCACACUGGAACUGAGACACGGUCCAGACUCCUACGGGAGGCAGCAGUGGGGAAUAUUGCACAAUGGGCGCAAGCCUGAUGCAGCCAUGCCGCGUGUAUGAAGAAGGGCCUUCGGGGUUGUAAAGUACUUUCAGCGGGGGAAGAGAGGUGUUGUGGGUUAAUAACCACAGCAAUUGACGUUACCCGCAGAGAAGCACCGGUCUAACUCCGUGCCCAGCAGCCGCGGUAAUACGGAGGGUGCAAGCGUUAAUCGGAAUUACUGGGCGUAAAGCGCACGCAGGCGGGCCGGCCCCGCCG